rnacentral:rRNA from 1 species
AGGAUGAACGCUGGCGGUAUGCUUAACACAUGCAAGUCGUACGGGUGGAACUUGUUCCAUCUAGUGGCGGACGGGUGCGUAACACGUAAGAACCUACCUUUUGGAGGGGGAUAACAUUGGGAAACUGAUGCUAAUACCUCGUAAUACUGAGGAGUUAAAAGCGGGUAUCCUGCAAGGGAGCUACGCGCCAAGAGAGGGGCUUGCGGCUGAUUAGCUAGUUGGUGGGGGUAAUGGCCUCCCAAGGCCACGAUCAGUAGCUGGUCUGAGAGGACGACCCAGCCACACUGGGACUGAGACACGGCCCAGACUCUUACGGGAGGCAGCAGUGAGGAAUUUUCCACAAUGGGCGAAAGCCUGAUGGAGCAAUCCCGCGUGGAGGAAGAAGGUCUGUGGAUCGUAAUCUCCUUUUCUCAGAGAAGAACAAAAUGACGGUAUCUGAGGAAUAAGCUCCGGCUAACCAUGCGCCAGCAGCCGCGGU